rnacentral:misc_RNA from 3 species
AACGCACAUUGCGCCCGCCAGUAUUCUGGCGGGCAUGCCUGUCUGAGCGUCAGUUCAACCCUCACAACCGGCUUUCUUGCUGGAUGUGGUGUUGGGGAUCGGCUGCCUUCUUCUAGGUGGCCGGCCCCGAAAUAGAGUGGCGGUCUCGUCGUGGCCUCCUCUGCGUAGUAGCAAUAUCUCGCAGGCGGAGAGCGGCGUGGCUAUGCCGUAAAACACCCAACUCUUCUAAGGUUGACCUCAGAUCAGGUAGGAAUACCCGCUGAACUUAA